AUAGGGCAGUGAAAUUUAUUGUAUCGCCUCUUUACCAGAUUUUGGGUAAACAUAUCUAAAUUGGAUCUGUGAUUGCCUCCCAAAUAAAGGACUCGGUUGACUUAUUUGCAAAUUUAACUGUGACCAUCUUAAGACCUUCUGAGAGAAAACUAGACUAGAAAAAAUGACUUUUCAAGUUGCCAUCGUUCAGAUUUUAAUUACUGUCGCUAUGUCAUUGACUCUACUAAAUGCGUCUCCUUUCGCAAAUAUGGAAAAUCUGGACACCGACUCUCAAAAGUCUAUUCUACUAGUACCCUUUUACUCGAGUGUACCACUGCACAAUGGCGGCGAAGUAAACAUGGGGGUGCAGCCAGAAGAGUCAGCACGUGAUCAAAGAGCACUGGUGGGGGGCAGGGGCAAGAGAAUUCAACUGUGCAACCAAUCCAUCUUCUCCUUCUCCAAGUCAAAGUGUGUUUGAAUUUUGACCUGCCUCUAAACUGUCAAUUUGCAAUACUCAAAUUAUAUUUUGACUUGUAAAUUUCAUUUUUUGCGAGAAAAUAAAAAUUCAAAAACA